rnacentral:rRNA from 1 species
AACGUAGGUGGCAAGCGUUAUCCGGAUUCACUGGGCGUAAAGCGCACGCAGGCGGUGAGGUAGGUAGGGCAUGAAAGCCCCCGGCUCAACUGGGGAGGGUCACGCGAUACUGAUCGACUCGAAGGCAGGAGAGGGUAGUGGAAUUCCCGGUGUAGUGGUGAAAUGCGUAGAUAUCGGGAGGAACACCGGUGGCGAAGGCGACAUCCUGGACCGGUAUUGACGCUGAGGCGCGAAAGCCAGGGGAGCAAACGGG